UUUAGUCCCUACAUGAAACAUUGAUGGCAUUUCGUCCUCUUAGUAUGGAAACAUGUAUAUUUAGUCCCUAAAAAUAGACGGCGUUAAUUUUUUGGUAAGGUGACUAACGGUUCUGCACAUCUUCUCUGUUCACUGCCUGCCACGUCUUCCCCACCCAAAAUUAGGGUUUCAGAUUGGGGUAAAGGGGAAAAACUCCUUCUCGGAAAAACUGCAGUGUUUUUGCACCCAAAAAUUCCUUGAUCGGACUUUAGAUUUCUACAAAUCCUUUAAGAUUGGAAUGCAGAUUCCUACAAAUCCUUUAAGAAAACAACACUUCCCUGUCUGAUUGUGGUUGCAGGUGGUGGAGAAACUGCGUCACUCGCGUCUAGGCUUCUCGGAGGUUGGUUGCGGUGGAGAUUGGGCUUGUGCAGGUGGUGGCCGAGGCGUCUUGCAGCGGCUUUGCAGCGCUGGUGGAGCACGGUGGCUUGUGCGCUUUCUGUUGCUGGGUUGGUUUUUUUUUCUGAGUGCAGGUUUGAAGAUGGCUGACCAUGGAGGUUGAACGGUGGCAUGGUGGUGAUGCGAACAAACGAACUCGCGAGAGGAAGGAGAAUGCUGUCGUGGUGUGACUCUGUGGUGGUGGGAUGAUGAUGGUGGUGAUUGUUGUACGACGGCGGCCAUGGACGAGCUCAUGGUGGCCGGUGAGAGUCGCUGGGUGGCUGGCAUGGAGAGCUCAUGGUGGCCGGUGAGAAAAUUUUCCACUUUCCCCCAAUCCGAAACCCUAAUUUUGGGUGGGGAAGACGUGGCAGGCAGUGGACAGACAAGACGUAGCAGUGUCGUUAGCCACCUCACCAAAAAAUUAACGCCGUCCAAAUUUAGGGACUAUUCGUACAUGUUUCCAUACUAAAAGGACGAAAUGCCAUCAAUGUUUCAUGCAGGGACUAAAACCAAAAAUCAGUGAAACUUCAGGUACUAAAAGCAUAUUUAACCCUGUUUAUAUUUAUGACAGUAUUGUGUUCAGUUUGUUUUGUCGUUAUUAUUUGUCAAGGUUUAAUUAUCUA